GGAGGAAUACCCAAGUCCGGCUGAAGGGAUCGGUCUUGAAAACCGACAGGGGUGUGAAAGCCCGCGGGGGUUCGAAUCCCUCUUCCUCCGCCA
rnacentral:tRNA from 1 species